rnacentral:misc_RNA from 1 species
CCUACGGGGGGCAGCAGUCGGGAAUUUUGGGCAAUGGGCGAAAGCCUGACCCAGCAACGCCGCGUGAAGGAUGAAAUCCUUCGGGAUGUAAACUUCGCAAGAAUGGGAAGAAUAAGUAGGGGACAAUACCCCCUAUGAUGACGGUACCAUUUGUAAGCUCCGGCUAACUUCGUGCCAGCAGCCGCGGUAAUACGAGGGGAGCAAGCGUUGUUCGGAUUUACUGGGCGUAAAGGGCGCGUAGGCGGCGUGACAAGUCACUUGUGAAAUCUCCGGGCUUAACUCGGAACGGUCAAGUGAAACUGUCGUGCUAGAGUACAGAAGGGGCAACUGGAAUUCUCGGUGUAGCGGUGAAAUGCGUAGAUAUCGAGAGGAACACCUGCGGCGAAGGCGGGUUGCUGGGCUGAUACUGACGCUGAGGCGCGAAAGCCAGGGGAGCGAACGGGAUUAGAUACCCUGGUAGUC